rnacentral:rRNA from 1 species
CCCUUAGAUGUUCUGGGCCGCACGCGCGCUACACUGAUGCAAUCAACGAGUUCCUUGGCCGAGAGGCCUGGGCAAUCUUUUGAACCUGCAUCGUGAUAGGGAUAGAUUCUUGCAAUUAUUAAUCUUGAACGAGGAAUUCCUAGUAAACGCAGAUCAUCAAUCUGCAUUGAUUACGUCCCUGCCCUUUGUACACACCGCCCGUUGCACCUACCGAUUGAAUGGUCCGGUGAAGCCUCGGGAUUGCGACUGGUGCCUUUAUUGGUGUUGGUUGCGAGAACUUGUCUAAACCUUAUCAUUUAGAGGAAGGUGAAGUCGUAACA